GACGGAGGGUGCUAGCGUUGUUCGGAAUUACUGGGCGUAAAGGGCGCGUAGGCGGCCUGAUAAGUCGGGUGUGAAAGCCCAGGGCUCAACCCUGGAACGGCAUCCGAGACUGUUGGGCUAGAGACCGGGAGAGGAGAGUGGAAUACCCAGUGUAGAGGUGAAAUUCGUAGAUAUUGGGUGGAACACCGGUGGCGAAAGCGGCUCUCUGGCCCGGUUCUGACGCUGAGGCGCGAAAGCGUGGGGAGCAAACAGG
rnacentral:rRNA from 1 species